rnacentral:rRNA from 1 species
UGAACGCUAGCUACAGACUUAACACAUGCAAGUCGAGGGGCAGCAUGGUCUUAGCUUGCUAAGGCCGAUGGCGACCGGCGCACGGGUGAGUAACACGUAUCCAACCUGCCGUCUACUCUUGGACAGCCUUCUGAAAGGAAGAUUAAUACAAGAUGGCAUCAUGAGUCCGCAUGUUCACAUGAUUAAAGGUAUUCCGGUAGACGAUGGGGAUGCGUUCCAUUAGAUAGUAGGCGGGGUAACGGCCCACCUAGUCUUCGAUGGAUAGGGGUUCUGAGAGGAAGGUCCCCCACAUUGGAACUGAGACACGGUCCAAACUCCUACGGGAGGCAGCAGUGAGGAAUAUUGGUCAAUGGGCGAGAGCCUGAACCAGCCAAGUAGCGUGAAGGAUGACUGCCCUAUGGGUUGUAAACUUCUUUUAUAAAGGAAUAAAGUCGGGUAUGGAUACCCGUUUGCAUGUACUUUAUGAAUAAGGAUCGGCUAACUCCGUGCCAGCAGCCGCGGUAAUACGGAGGAUCCGAGCGUUAUCCGGAUUUAUUGGGUUUAAAGGGAGCGUAGAUGGAUGUUUAAGUCAGUUGUGAAAGUUUGCGGCUCUACCGCCAAAUUUGCAGUUGAUACUGGAUAUUUUGAGUGCAGUGAGGGCAGGCGGAAUUCGUGGUGUAGCGGUGAAAUGCUUAGAUAUCACGAAGAACUCCGAUUGCGAAGGCAGCCUGCUAAGCUGCAACUGACAUUGAGGCUCGAAAGUGUGGGUAUCAAACAGGAUUAGAUACCCUGGUAGUCCACACGGUAAACGAUGAAUACUCGCUGUUUGCGAUAUACAGCAAGCGGCCAAGCGAAAGCGUUAAGUAUUCCACCUGGGGAGUACGCCGGCAACGGUGAAACUCAAAGGAAUUGACGGGGGCCCGCACAAGCGGAGGAACAUGUGGUUUAAUUCGAUGAUACGCGAGGAACCUUACCCGGGCUUAAAUUGCAGAUGAAUUACGGUGAAAGCCGUAAGCCGCAAGGCAUCUGUGAAGGUGCUGCAUGGUUGUCGUCAGCUCGUGCCGUGAGGUGUCGGCUUAAGUGCCAUAACGAGCGCAACCCUUGUUGUCAGUUACUAACAGGUUCCGCUGAGGACUCUGACAAGACUGCCAUCGUAAGAUGUGAGGAAGGUGGGGAUGACGUCAAAUCAGCACGGCCCUUACGUCCGGGGCUACACACGUGUUACAAUGGGGGGUACAGAGGGCCGCUACCACGCGAGUGGAUGCCAAUCCCCAAAACCUCUCUCAGUUCGGACUGGAGUCUGCAACCCGACUCCACGAAGCUGGAUUCGCUAGUAAUCGCGCAUCAGCCACGGCGCGGUGAAUACGUUCCCGGGCCUUGUACACACCGCCCGUCAAGCCAUGGGAGCCGGGGGUACCUGAAGUGCGUAACCGCGAGGAGCGCCCUAGGGUAAAACUGGUGACUGGGGC